rnacentral:lncRNA from 1 species
AAGUACUCGUGUCUUCGGGUGUUUGUGAACCUCACCCAUUCAGCUCAGAAAGCUCUCCUACAUUAUAAUGAAGAGGCUGUCCAGAUAAAUCCCAAGUGCUUUUACACACCUAAGUGCCACCAAGAUAGAAAUGAUUUGCUCAACAGUGCUCUGGACAUAAAAGAAUUCUUCGAUCACAAAAAUGGAACCCCCUUUUCAUGCUUCUACAGUCCAGCCAGCCAAUCUGAAGAUGUCAUUCUUAUAAAAAAGUAUGACCAAAUGGCUAUCUUCCACUGUUUAUUUUGGCCUUCACUGACUCUGCUAGGUG